GUUUUAAUAAUUUAAAAAAAAUAUUGGUCUUGUAAAUCAAACUUAAGUAAUCACUUUUAAAACU
rnacentral:tRNA from 2 species